rnacentral:rRNA from 1 species
CGCAUCUGUGCAUGCAGCAUAUCAAUAAGCGGAGGAAAAGAAACUAACAAGGAUUCCCCUAGUAACGGCGAGUGAAGCGGGAAGAGCUCAAAUUUGAGAUCUUAAAGGGUUUCCCUUUACGAAUUGUAGUUUAAAGAAGUGUUUUCUGUUGAGGUUUUGGUAAAAGUUCUUUGGAAUAGGACAUCAUAGAGGGUGAGAAUCCCGUAUUUGACCUUUACUUUCAACUUUGUGAUACACUUUCAAAGAGUCGGAUUGUUUGGGAAUGCAGUCCAAAAUGGGUGGUAAAUUUCAUCUAGAGCUAAAUAUUGGCGAGAGACCGAUAGCGAACAAGUACCGUGAGGGAAAGAUGAAAAGAACUUUGAAAAGAGAGUUAAACAGUACGUGAAAUUGUCAAAAGGGAAGCGUUUGACACCAGUGUUGUUUUUCUGAAAAUCAAUUAAAGAACUGUUUAUGCUAAGCUGUUUAGACUUUAUCAGCUAACUGUUUAGUUUUGAGCUUUUCUUUAAUGCACUUUUCAGUUAACAAGUCAACAUCAAUUUCUUUUGCUGUAAAAAAGCUUGAGGAAGGUGGCUUGAGAUUCGUCUUAAGUGUUUAUAGCCUCUUGCCUAUGCAGUCGGAGAGAUUGAGGUCUGCAGCGUAGAUCCUUCGGGGCUAAAUGCAUUUGUGCUAAGUUAUAGCAUUUUAUAGACAACUUGUUGACUAUGAUUUGUCUUGUAGCUUACUCGCUUAUGUUAUUUUACCUACGCUUAGGAUGUUGAAUCUGUGCGAGACUAC